UGCCUGGGGAGUACGGUCGCAAGGCUGAAACUUAAAGGAAUUGGCGGGGGAGCACCGCAACCUGAGGAUUGUGCGGUUUAAUUGGAUUCAACGCCGGAAAACUCACCAUGGCCGACGGACAUAUGAAAGCCAGUGUAACGAGCUUGCUGGAUUGUUCGAGAGGUAUUGCAUGGCCGCCGUCAGUUCGUACCGCAAGGCGUUCUGUUAAGUCAGAUAACGAACGAGACCCUCAUCCCUAUUUGCCAAGGUCUGUCCGCAGACCACGGGACUAUAGGGAGACCGCUGGCGCGAAGUCAGAGGAAGGCGAGGGCAACGGUAGGUCAGUAUGAUCCGAAUGCCAUGGGCUACACGCGCAAUACAAAGGACGGGACAAUGGGCUGCUACUCCGAGAGGAAGAAGCUAUCCCGAAACCCGUUCGUAGUUCGGAUUGGGGGCUGUAACCCGCCCCCAUGAAGCUGGAUUAGGUAGUAAUCGCGUCUCAACAAGGCGCGGUGAAUAUGCCCCUGCUCCUUGCACACACCGCCCGUCAAACCAUCUUAGUUGUGGGUGGGUGAGGCUACCUUGAUAAUGGGGUAUUCGAGCCUGCCUUCGACAAGGAGGGUUAAG
rnacentral:rRNA from 1 species